CAGGUAGGCCGCGUGGCUUCCAAUCCCAUGGGUGGGGGGGCGAGAGUGGUGACAGGAGAGGAUUAUGGGAUUAGAUGAGACAUGAGACGGCCACUCUGCAGCGGCGGGUUCAAAGACAUGAAGCUCGUCUUCCUCCAUGUUUGGAGUUUUUAUUUGUUUUCUUUGUGCAGCAAAGUGGGACUGAAAUCUGCUGAUGCAUCUUUUCUCUUAACUGUGGAAAAACAGAUCAGUCAAGGCUGCUGGUUCCACUCGUGAGUAACGUUUGUUCGUCUGUGUCAGCCAGGAUUGAUGUUUCAGAUCAUGUGCAUUGAAACGGGACGAUGAGCUGCAGAAAUACUGAAUCCAAAGAGGGAAAGUUGUGGUUUAAAUACCAGAUGAUGCACUGCUGCCAUCUUCAGGUUCAUGGUGAGAACUGCAGGUGACGUUUGCUCACCUCGUUUGUUUCUCCCACGGACUGGUGCCUCCUCACGGACUCCUCUUCCUCACCUCCUCACCUCCUCUCCUCGCGUCAAGACAAACGGAGUUUCAGUGUUUGAAGCAAACAAUCGGACGGCGUCCGCGUGAGGAGUUCAUUUAUCACCGAGACAAAGACGCAGUUCAUCCUGUAGGAAACGGGUCGGUUCUGACUGAAGACACAAAGGGAGGAGGUCAAAGCAGCUUCGGAUCUCCUCGUGUUUCAGUGUGAAGAAGCAGAACUUGCUUCCUCUCUGAAGUCCGUCAUGAGCAGAGGACCUCGGGACGUCUGUGGAAACAUGUGGAGGUCACACGUCUGGCCAAGUGAAAAGGCCGUCUUCAUUAACAUGCAGGGCCCGCCGCUUCCUCUGAAACGGGCCUUUGUGUCCCGGCGGGCGCAGCGGCUCCGGGGCGGAGGUCCGGGCGGAGGUCCAGGCGGAGGUCCAGGCG
ensembl:lncRNA